rnacentral:rRNA from 1 species
UACGUAGGGGGCAAGCGUUGUCCGGAUUCAUUGGGCGUAAAGAGCGUGUAGGCGGCCAGGUAGGUCGGUUGUGAAAACUGGAGGCUCAACCUUCAGACGUCGACCGAAACCAUCUGGCUAGAGUCCGGGAGAGGAGACUGGAAUUCCUGGUGUAGCGGUGAAAUGCGCAGAUAUCAGGAGGAACACCGAUGGCGAAGGCAGGUCUCUGGGCCGCUACUGACGCUGAGAAGCGAAAGCAUGGGGAGCGAACAGG